rnacentral:rRNA from 1 species
AACAAGAUUAUAUACCCUGGUAGUCCAUGCCGUAUACGAUGUCAACUAGUUGUUGGGAGACUUGAUCUCUUACUGACGCAGCUAACGCAUUAAGUUGACCGCCUGGGGAGUACGGUCGCAAGAGUAAAACUCAAAUGAAUUGACGGGGGCCCGCACAAGCGGUGGAGCAUGUGGUUUAAUUCGAUGCAACGCGAAGAACCUUACCUACUCUUGACAUCUAGCGAACCCUGUAGAGAUACGGGGGUGCCUUCGGGAAUGCUAAGACAGGUGCUGCAUGGCUGUCGUCAGCUCGUGUCGUGAGAUGUUGGGUUAAGUCCCGCAACGAGCGCAACCCUUGUCCUUAGUUGCCAGCACGUAAUGGUGGGAACUCUAAGGAGACUGCCGGUGACAAACCGGAGGAAGGCGGGGACGACGUCAAGUCAUCAUGGCCCUUACGAGUAGGGCUACCCACGUGCUACAAUGGUCGGUACAGAGGGUUGCUACGCCGCGAGGCCGCGCUAAUCUCAAAAAGCCGAUCGUAGUCCAGAUUGAAGUCUGCAACUCGACUCCAUGAAGUCAGAAUCGCUAGUAGCCGCGGAUCAAAAAUGCCGGGUGAAAAAG